rnacentral:lncRNA from 1 species
CACUAAGACAAGAAGAAUAAACACCUGAGGAACAAGAGUCCUCUGAGCAGCCAUGCCUGGGACAGCCACACUGAGAGCAGCCACCUGAGAUGCCAGAGUCCCCCACGCAGCCAUGCCUGGGACAGCCACACCCAGAGCGGCCACCUGAGACGCCGGAGUCCCCCACACAGCUGUCCUCAGGACAGCCACACCGAGAGCAGCCACCUGAGAUGCCGGAGUCCCCCACGCAGCCGUCCUCAGGACAGUCAUGCCAAGAGCAGCCACCUGAGACGCCAGAGUUGCCCAUGUAGCCAUGCCUGGCACAACCGUCUCAGAAACACAUGAUUAAGGGGUAACAAAACAACAAACACCAUGAGAACAAAAUGUGAACCAUGUUGUGAAGAAACAGUCAAAAACUAGAAAGGAUAGCAAGACAAAUGAAAAUAAAAGCGGACAUUUUUUCACAUUAUACUAAAGAGGUGGCCCGGGAGUGGAAACCUGUAGAUUAACAAAACCACCUUUAUUAUUACCUGAAGUCCACUUUUCUUCAACCAUGGGGCUUCCACGUCACAUAUGGACAUUUUAACAGCAAGAAAAUCACAUGUGGGGUGAAACUAAAGCCCCACACAGUGGUGUCUUCUCGAAAGCCAAAGACGAGGUUUCAUAAUUGAGCUCCAUUUCUUCUUAUUCCCUUUCUCAGUGAUAUUUCUUUUUAGUAAACAUUUUAAAGAAUGAAAC